rnacentral:rRNA from 1 species
CGUGUAGGCGGAACUACAAGUCAGAUGUGAAAUACCACGGCUCAACCGUGGAACGGCAUUUGAAACUGUAGAUCUUGAGUAUCGGAGAGGCAAGUGGAAUUUUCAGUGUAGCGGUAAAAUGCGUAGAUAUUGGAAGGAACACCGGUGGCGAAGGCGACUUGCUGGACGAUUACUGACGCUGAUGCGCGAAAGUGUGGGGAGCGAACAGGAUUAGAUACCCUGGUAGUCC